rnacentral:ncRNA from 2 species
GUCAGAGUAGACACAGCGCGUCAAGUGCCAUUGGAUGGGAGGUUGCCAAUGGACGAAGGGACGAAAAGCCCGCGUUGCUGUGCCGCAUCCGCUGCC